rnacentral:rRNA from 1 species
UAGAGAUAGGCAUUUCCCUUCGGGGACAGAGUGACAGGUGGUGCAUGGUUGUCGUCAGCUCGUGUCGUGAGAUGUUGGGUUAAGUCCCGCAACGNGCGCAACCCUUGAACUUAGUUGCCAGCAUUUGGUUGGGCACUCUAAGGUGACUGCCGGUGACAAACCGGAGGAAGGUGGGGAUGACGUCAAAUCAUCAUGCCCCUUAUGACCUGGGCUACACACGUGCUACAAUGGGCGGUACAAAGGGCAGCGAAGUCGCGAGAUGGAGCAAAUCCCAUAAAACCGUUCUCAGUUCGGAUUGCAGGCUGCAACUCGCCUGCAUGAAGUCGGAAUCGCUAGUAAUCGCGGAUCAGCAUGCCGCGGUGAAUACGUUCCCGGGCCUUGUACACACCGCCCGU